GGCAUGCGGCGCAUUAGCUAGUUGGCGGGGCCAACGGCCCACCAAGGCGACGAUGCGUAGGGGUUCUGAGAGGAAGGUCCCCCACACUGGUACUGAGACACGGACCAGACUCCUACGGGAGGCAGCAGUGAGGAAUAUUGGUCAAUGGGCGCAGGCCUGAACCAGCCAAGUCGCGUGAGGGAAGACGGUCCUACGGAUUGUAAACCUCUUUUGUCGGGGAGUAACGUGCGGGACGUGUCCCGUAUUGAGAGUACCCGAAGAAAAAGCAUUGGCUAACUCCGUGCCAGCAGCCGCGGUAAUACGGAGGAUGCGAGCGUUAUCCGGAUUUAUUGGGUUUAAAGGGUGCGCAGGCGGCGCGCCAAGUCAGCGGUCAAAGUUCCGGGCUCAACCCGGUGUCGCCGUUGAAACUGGCGUGCUCGAGUGCGUGCGAGGAAGGCGGAAUGCGUUGUGUAGCGGUGAAAUGCAUAGAUAUGACGCAGAACUCCGAUUGCGAAGGCAGCUUUCCAGCGCGCUACUGACGCUGAGGCACGAAAGCGUGGGGAUCGAACAGGAUUAGAUACCCUGGUAGUCCACGCAGUAAACGAUGACUACUAGCUUUCCGGGACGAUUGAGUCCUGGGAGGCACAGCGAAAGCGUUAAGUAGUCCACCUGGGGAGUAC
rnacentral:rRNA from 1 species